rnacentral:rRNA from 1 species
AGUGAACGCUGGCGGUAGGCCUAACACAUGCAAGUCGAACGGCAGCACAGUAAGAGCUUGCUCUUACGGGUGGCGAGUGGCGGACGGGUGAGGAAUACAUCGGAAUCUACUUUUUCGUGGGGGAUAACGUAGGGAAACUUACGCUAAUACCGCAUACGACCUACGGGUGAAAGCAGGGGAUCUUCGGACCUUGCGCGAUUGGAUGAGCCGAUGUCGGGUUAGCUAGUGGGCGGGGUAAAGGCCCACCAAGGCGACGAUCCGUAGCUGGUCUGAGAGGAUGAUAAGCCACACUGGAACUGAGACACGGUCCAGACUCCUACGGGAGGCAGCAGUGGGGAAUAUUGGACAAUGGGCGCAAGCCUGAUCCAGCCAUACCGCGUGGGUGAAGAAGGCCUUCGGGUUGUAAAGCCCUUUUGUUGGGAAAGAAAAGCAGCAGGUUAAUACCCCGCUGUUCUGACGGUACCCAAAGAAUAAGCACCGGCUAACUUCGUG